AUGUUGUGAUGUGGGCAUUGAGAAGUAGCUCAUUAAAGUGCUCCCAUGCCUCGAAGAAAAGGUCUCCGUCUUUUUGUUGGAAGUUCUGAAUUUCCCUCCUCAAUUG